rnacentral:lncRNA from 1 species
GAGUGCUCCCGCGGUGUGCACCGGCGUGGGUGCCCUGAGGUACAAUAUUCAUUAUGGGCUCAGUGACAGUUGCCGUUGCUUGAGUCAAAGUAGUACCGAUAGAGGCCAAGUUCGCCCCAGGAAUCGGGCCACUGUUAGCAGUACCAGAAGUGCCUGCUGCAGUAUUAGGAGUGAAAAACGGUGGAAGUCCAUAAGGAAACCCAGUUGGCAUAGCGAAGCGAGCAUCAGUAGAUGCAGUUGGGAUCACACUUGUAGUUACAGGGAUAACUGUGGCUGAUUGUUCCUGGGCAGCCAACAGAGCAGUCAUGGUGUCGU